CCCGCGAACCAAUACUAAUCCCGGGGGCGCCGGGCCGGUGCACUCGUGCGCCUCCCCCGCCCCCGAUCCCGGCCCUGCCUCUCGCUGCCCCGGACCCGUCCGGGCGUCCGCGCGAGGCACCGACGGGGAUAAAAACGAACCCCGGCGCGGACAGCGCCAAGGAAAUCCUAACGAACGGCGUCCCCGCCGCACCGACGCGUGCGGCCGCGGCGAUGCAGAAUUCGAUACCCUAACGACUCUCGGCAACGGAUAUCUCGGCUCUCGCAUCGAUGAAGAACGCAGCGAAAUGCGAUACUUGGUGUGAAUUGCAGAAUCCCGUGAACCAUCGAGUUUUUGAACGCAAGUUGCGCCCGAAGCCAUUCGGCCGAGGGCACGCCUGCCUGGGCGUCACGUACCGCGUUGCUCCCACAACACUCGCCCCUCGACCGGGGGGCGAGCGCGUGCGGAAGCGAAGAUUGGCCUCCCGCGCGCCCGCACGGAUGGCCUAAAAGCGAGCCUCGUGGCGACGAAGGGCCACGACAAGCGGUGGUUGAUCGUUCUCGGCCGUGGUUGUGUCGUGCCCGUCCCCGUCCCGACGAGCUCGGAAUCCCCGACGCGCCGCCCCGGCGGCGCUCGCAUCGCGACC
rnacentral:rRNA from 1 species